AUUGAACGCUGGCGGAAUGCUUUACACAUGCAAGUCGAACGGUAGAGGGGGCAACCCCUCGAGAGUGGCGAACGGGUGAGUAAUAUAUCGGAACGUGCCCAGUCGUGGGGGAUAACGUAGCGAAAGUUACGCUAAUACCGCAUACGAUCUACGGAUGAAAGCGGGGGAUCGCAAGACCUCGCGCGAUUGGAGCGGCCGAUAUCAGAUUAGGUAGUUGGUGGGGUAAAGGCUCACCAAGCCAACGAUCUGUAGCUGGUCUGAGAGGACGACCAGCCACCCUGGAGCUGAGACACGGUCCAGACUCCUACGGGAGGCGGCAGUGGUGAAUUUUGGACAAUGGACGCAAGUCUGUUCCAGCCAUUCCGCGUGCAGGAUGAAGGCCCUCGGGUUGUAAACUGCUUUUGUACGGAACGAAAAGGUUUCCAUUAAUACUGGGAGCUCAUGACGGUACCGUAAGAAUAAGCACCGGCUAACUACGUGCCAGCAGCCGCCGUAA
rnacentral:rRNA from 1 species